rnacentral:rRNA from 1 species
UACGAAGGGGACUAGCGUUGUUCGGAAUUACUGGGCGUAAAGCGCACGUAGGCGGAUUCGUAAGUCAGGGGUGAAAUCCCGGGGCUCAACCUCGGAACUGCCUUUGAUACUGCGGAUCUCGAGUCCGAUAGAGGUGGGUGGAAUUCCCAGUGUAGAGGUGAAAUUCGUAGAUAUUGGGAAGAACACCGGUGGCGAAGGCGGCUCACUGGCUCAUUACUGACGCUCAGGCGCGAUAGCGUGGGGAUCAAACAGG